GACUGGAGAUGGCUCAGUUGAUAGAGCACGAGACUCUUAUUCUCAGGUUCAUGAGUUUGAGCCCCACAUUGGGCA